rnacentral:rRNA from 1 species
GACGAACGCUGGCGGCGUGCCUAAUACAUGCAAGUUGAGCGCUGAAGGUUGGUACUUGUACCAACUGGAUGAGCAGCGAACGGGUGAGUAACGCGUGGGGAAUCUGCCUUUGAGCGGGGGACAACAUUUGGAAACGAAUGCUAAUACCGCAUAAAAACUUUAAACACAAGUUUUAAGUUUGAAAGAUGCAAUUGCAUCACUCAAAGAUGAUCCCGCGUUGUAUUAGCUAGUUGGUGAGGUAAAGGCUCACCAAGGCGAUGAUACAUAGCCGACCUGAGAGGGUGAUCGGCCACAUUGGGACUGAGACACGGCCCAAACUCCUACGGGAGGCGGCAGUAGGGAAGCUUCGGCAAUGGACGAAAGUCUGACCGAGCAACGCCGUGUGAGUGAAGAAGGGUUUCGGAUCGUAAAACUCUGUUGGUAGAGAAGAACGUUGGUGAGAGUGGAAAGCUCAUCAAGUGACGGUAACUACCCAGAAAGGGACGGCUAACUACGUG